rnacentral:tRNA from 1 species
UUGGAGGAAGCUAUUAAAGCAUCUCAUUGUUACUGAGAAGAUAGGAUUUCAAUCCCCUUCAAGAG